GAGUUUGAUUCUGGCUCAUGACGAACGCUAGCGGCAGGCCUAAUACAUGCAAGUCGAACGGUAAGGUCUCUUCGGAGAUACACGAGUGGCGCACGGGUGCGUAACACGUAUGCAACCUACCCAUCAGCGGGGGAUAGUCGCGGGAAACUGCGAAUAAUACCCCAUAUGCUCCCGAAUCGGCAUCGAUUUGAGAGGAAAGCUCCGGCGCUGAUGGAUGGGCAUGCGUCCCAUUAGCUAGUUGGGGAGGUAACGGCUCACCAAGGCAACGAUGGGUAACUGGUCUGAGAGGAUGAUCAGUCACACGGGCACUGAGACACGGGCCCGACUCCUACGGGAGGCAGCAGUAAGGAAUAUUGGACAAUGGGCGCAAGCCUGAUCCAGCCAUGCCGCGUGGUGGAUGACGGCCCUCCGGGUUGUAAACACCUUUUAUUUGGGGAUAAUGGUUUCCUAUAUGGGGACUUGCAGGUACCAGAUGAAUAAGCACCGGCUAACUACGUGCCAGCAGCCGCGGUAAUACGUAGGGUGCAAGCGUUGUCCGGAUUUAUUGGGUUUAAAGGGUGCGUAGGCGGCUGAUUAAGUUAG
rnacentral:rRNA from 1 species